AUACUUACCUGGCAGGGGAGAUACCAUGAUCACGAAGGUGGUUUUCC
rnacentral:snRNA from 1 species